UAGCGUAGUGGUUAACGCGCGAGUCGCGGUAGGACUUGAUAUGCGGGUUCGAAUCCCGC
rnacentral:tRNA from 1 species